UACGGAGGGGGCUAGCGUUGUUCGGAAUUACUGGGCGUAAAGCGCGCGUAGGCGGACCUGCAAGUCGGGGGUGAAAGCCCGAGGCUCAACCUCGGAACUGCCUUCGAUACUGCGGGUCUCGAGUCCGGGAGAGGUGAGUGGAAUUCCUAGUGUAGAGGUGAAAUUCGUAGAUAUUAGGAAGAACACCAGUGGCGAAGGCGGUUGCCUGGGGCUUUGCUGACGCUGAUGCGCGAAAGCGUGGGGAGCGAUCCGG
rnacentral:rRNA from 1 species